CAGACAUCGAGAGACAAGCAAACACUUACCCAAGUGCAGAGUACUCACUGCUGCAUUGCAGAGUUUACUGGCAUAAAAUGAUGGGGCAGGACAGAUUUUCAUCUGGUGUUAAGUGACUUCAAAAUAAAACCAAGGUAAAGUCAGCAACAGAAUGAGCGAAUAGAGCAUUGAGGAGCAAAAGUGGGGCCACAGUGAGGCUUUAAGUGCCUUGUAGCUACCAGAGACCGAGUUGGGAUCUGCCAUGGGGAUUGCACAGUGAGCUCUGAGAAACACCAAGUGUAGACACUGUUGGGAAAUUAACCAAAUUACCAAGCUCACACAAUUUAUAGAAAAUUAGCUUUUUAUGUCCUUUCUGGAAAAAAAAAUCCUUUCAAAGCAAGCAGAUCCUUUUGGAACAUGAGAAAAAAAAAUGCAGCACUAGUUAAUCCCAUGAAAACUUCCCUUUGGCAAUGCCUUCCUGUAAGUAAAAUAGUCCCCUAAAAGCUGUCCAGAAGGAUAAUGUUCUCAGAUGGCCACAGAGAUAAUAUAAAAAAAUGCUUUUUGGAAACAUUUGCAAUCAAAACCACUCAGAGGAUCUCCUUGCUGCUUUGGUACCUGGACAUUUCCUGUGUGGAAGGAGGGCAAAAUCUGUUUUUGUCCAUACCAGCCCCAGCCACCCUGGGCCUAGGCCCACAGCUAAACCUGGGCCCAUUUUUAGGAUAGGUGUAAAAAGUCCCCAGCUGGCCUGGCUGUGCUGAGGGCUGUAGUUCACUCUCUGCCUUCUGUACGGAUGGACACAUCAAGAAGGGUGAAAUGAGCCACAUGCACUCCCUGGGGAUUUGAAAUCACAGAGGUCAUAGAAUAUUCUGAGUUGGAAGGGAUUCACACAGGGGUCAAACCCACAGCCUUGGUGUUACUAGCACCCUGUUCUAACCAUGGGGUAUGGCACUAAAGUAAAAGGGACAAUAGAAAACUGCUCAGAAAUCAAGAGAAGUUAUGUACAUUAUGAACCUAUUCGUGAAAUUACCCCCAGAUUUUAUUUUUCAUUCAAAAAUAGGUUCCU